rnacentral:rRNA from 1 species
UCGAGAGGCUUCGGCAAUGGGGGAAACCCUGACCGAGCGACGCCGCGUGGGUGAUGAAGAUUCUCGGAUCGUAAAACCCUGUCAGGUGGGAUGAAAAACCAUUCGGUUAAUACCCGAGUGGCUUGACAGUACCACCAGAGGAAGCUCCGGCCAACUCCGUGCCAGCAGCCGCGGUAACACGGGGGGAGCAAGCGUUGUUCGGAUUCAUUGGGCGUAAAGAGCUCGUUGGCCGCUCUGUAAGUCGGAAGUGAAAGACCACGGCUCAACCGUGGAAACGCUUUCGAAACUGUGGAGCUUGAGGCCGGGAGAGGAGAUCGGAAUUCCUGGUGUAGCGGUGAAAUGCGUAGAUAUCAGGAGGAACACCCGUGGCGAAGGCGGAUCUCUGGACCGGUUCUGACGCUGAGGAGCGAAAGCUAGGGGAGCGAACAGGAUUAGAUACCCCCGUAGUCCCUGAGCGGGCUGGCAAGGCGCAU